rnacentral:misc_RNA from 1 species
UGGCCUCUUUAGGUUCUUCAAAUCCAAAGAAUCAAUACACUCUACCUCACCUCUAUGUAAAUUCAACAAUUUCAACAACUCACUUGCCUUCUCCUUAGUAUUUUCACCACAACCAACUUGUAUUAGUAACAAUAGCUUUUGAAAUGCACCAACUUGAAGUGCUUCAUUAAUAAGCACAACAUUAUCAUUCUUCCCAAUUAAUAACUUCCAUAAUAUUGAAACUGAAAAUUCAGUUGCUAAAUCUGAAACUCUCAAUAAUUUCUUGAUCAAAACAGGAAUAGUUAAGGCAUAAUUAUUAGCCCUUUUUCUCCCUUCUUGUGAGUUGCA